rnacentral:rRNA from 1 species
AUACGUAGGGAGCAAGCGUUGUCCGGAAUUGCUGGGCGUAAAGGGCGUGUAGGCGGCCGAUCAAGUCAGGUGUGAAAUUUCAGGGCUCAACCCUGAGCGUGCACUUGAAACUGGUUGGCUUGAGUGCAGAAGAGGAAAGUGGAAUUCCCAGUGUAGCGGUGAAAUGCGUAGAUAUUGGGAGGAACACCAGUGGCGAGGGGGACUUUCGGGUCUGGAACGGACGCGGAGGCGCGAAAGCUAGGGGAGCGAACAGGAUUAGAUACCCUGGUAGUCCUAGCCGUAAACGAUGGGUACUAGGUGUAGGGGGUUUAGACGCCCUCUGUGCCGCAGUUAACACAUUAAGUACCCCGCCUGGGGAGUACGGCCGCAAGGCUGAAACUCAAAGGAAUUGACGGGG